rnacentral:tRNA from 1 species
GCCCUCUUGGCUCAGUUGGUUAGAGCGCUGGUCUCAUGCGCUGGUAUGAGUCGUCGUGGCACGAAUUAAUCCAGAGGUCGCAAGUCCGAUCCUUGCAGAGGGCA